CAGCCGCCGCGGUAAUACGAAGGGGGCUAGCGUUGUUCGGAUUUACUGGGCGUAAAGCGCACGUAGGCGGAUCGAUCAGUCAGGGGUGAAAUCCUGGAGCUCAACUCCAGAACCGCCUUUGAUACUGUCGAUCUCGAGUCCGGAAGAGGUGAGUGGAACUCCUAGUGUAGAGGUGGAAUUCGUAGAUAUUAGGAAGAACACCAGUGGCGAAGGCGGCUCACUGGUCCGGUACUGACGCUGAGGUGCGAAAGCGUGGGGAGCUAACAGGAUUAGAUACCCGCGUAGUCCCUGUCUCUUAUAC
rnacentral:rRNA from 1 species